UGUGGGAUCCCAGUCUCUUCCUUUCACUUUCUGACCAUGAAGUAUGCUACUAUCAUGUGCUAUCCCCCCACCAGAGGCCUAGCAGGAAUAGGUCUUCCCUGAUCAUAGACUGGUGUCUCAAAAACUGUGAGCCCAAGUAAGAAACAGAACUAUGACCUCCAACCCUGAAGAUUAUAUUCUGUUCUGCUGUCCAAAAAGUAUAUGCUCUCAGAGUGUUUUAUCCAGAGGUGAGAAUGCUUUUGCCAUAUCACUAAAUGACCACUUUUAGAACAGCUUCUCUUCAUUGAAAUUCCAGCACACCAAUUAGCAGGAGCAAAGGAGGGCCAACCUGGGAUGGAGAAGACAUCAGAGACAUCGUGUCCCUGAAAUUCUAACAGUGCUCAGAAGACUGGGCUUUAUACCAUCAUCUGAAGAGCUGGAGACCAAGGGUAAUGCUUGUAAAAUACUCUUUGCUGCUGAUGAAAAUAUAUGGCACUUCAAAAUAGCCUGCUUUAUGGAAAAACAAUCUGCUACAUUCCAAAUUCUGAAUACAGCUAACAUUGAAAUAAAAACUGUCUGGAUUAACUGUUGGAAUAAGAGAGAGCUUAUUUCAUACUGCCCCUACCUGUCUGGAAACUGGUAACCAUCUUUUAAGGUGCAGCUCAGACAUUACCUUGCCAUUAUGCAAUAUUUUAUAUCUGUUUACAUCUGAUAUCCACCCAGGAAGGUUAAUUAAGUUGGUGAAGGUAUUACUUUGUAGUUAGAUUUCUACAGAUAACUCGGUGCUGGACAUGUAGACCUAAGUAAAUGCUUGUGAAAUUAAUGAGAAUGUGCAUAAUCGUGUCUCAAACAAUAGUAGGAGGACUCAAUGAAGGAGGCCAAAUAUAAAAUAGGCAAAAGAUGAAGAGGUAGUUGAUUGAGUUAGCCAGGGAGUUUAGGCAUGAAGUUCAAGAAAAAUGCCAGGAUAUGCUUCAAUUUAUGCUUGCCUUGAAGAAUAAAUCAUUUUUCCCUAUAUCU